rnacentral:ncRNA from 2 species
AUGAUACUUCCGUCCAGUCACAGCUCCCUGGAAACAGGGGAACGCAAUGAGGGCGGCUCGGAGAGAUCCUCGGAGGGGUGAAAGUCCCAUGA